rnacentral:rRNA from 1 species
CAGCUCAGGACGAACGCUGGCGGCGUGCUUAACACAUGCAAGUCGAACGAUGAUGCCCAGCUUGCUGGGUGGAUUAGUGGCGAACGGGUGAGUAACACGUGAGUAACCUGCCCCUGACUCUGGGAUAAGCGUUGGAAACGACGUCUAAUACUGGAUAUGACUGCCGGCCGCAUGGUCUGGUGGUGGAAAGAUUUUUUGGUUGGGGAUGGACUCGCGGCCUAUCAGCUUGUUGGUGAGGUAAUGGCUCACCAAGGCGACGACGGGUAGCCGGCCUGAGAGGGUGACCGGCCACACUGGGACUGAGACACGGCCCAGACUCCUACGGGAGGCAGCAGUGGGGAAUAUUGCACAAUGGGCGAAAGCCUGAUGCAGCAACGCCGCGUGAGGGAUGACGGCCUUCGGGUUGUAAACCUCUUUUAGUAGGGAAGAAGCGUAAGUGACGGUACCUGCAGAAAAAGCACCGGCUAACUACGUGCCAGCAGCCGCGGUAAUACGUAGGGUGCAAGCGUUGUCCGGAAUUAUUGGGCGUAAAGAGCUCGUAGGCGGUUUGUCGCGUCUGCUGUGAAAUCCCGAGGCUCAACCUCGGGCUUGCAGUGGGUACGGGCAGACUAGAGUGCGGUAGGGGAGAUUGGAAUUCCUGGUGUAGCGGUGGAAUGCGCAGAUAUCAGGAGGAACACCGAUGGCGAAGGCAGAUCUCUGGGCCGUAACUGACGCUGAGGAGCGAAAGCGUGGGGAGCGAACAGGAUUAGAUACCCUGGUAGUCCACGCCGUAAACGUUGGGCGCUAGAUGUAGGGACCUUUCCACGGUUUCUGUGUCGUAGCUAACGCAUUAAGCGCCCCGCCUGGGGAGUACGGCCGCAAGGCUAAAACUCAAAGGAAUUGACGGGGGCCCGCACAAGCGGCGGAGCAUGCGGAUUAAUUCGAUGCAACGCGAAGAACCUUACCAAGGCUUGACAUACACCGGAAACGGCCAGAGAUGGUUGCCCCCUUGUGGUCGGUGUACAGGUGGUGCAUGGUUGUCGUCAGCUCGUGUCGUGAGAUGUUGGGUUAAGUCCCGCAACGAGCGCAACCCUCGUUCUAUGUUGCCAGCGCGUUAUGGCGGGGACUCAUAGGAGACUGCCGGGGUCAACUCGGAGGAAGGUGGGGAUGACGUCAAAUCAUCAUGCCCCUUAUGUCUUGGGCUUCACGCAUGCUACAAUGGCCGGUACAAAGGGCUGCGAUACCGUAAGGUGGAGCGAAUCCCAAAAAGCCGGUCUCAGUUCGGAUUGAGGUCUGCAACUCGACCUCAUGAAGUCGGAGUCGCUAGUAAUCGCAGAUCAGCAACGCUGCGGUGAAUA